AAAGAUCUUUUAGAUGCACAUAUCCCUCCGGGAGGGCGAUUGGGAUGUGGGCAUAAGGGCCUUUAUGACACAAUUAAUAAUUCGAUUCAUUUUCAAUUAGGCCUUGCUCUAGCUUCUUUAGGGGUUAUUACUUCUUUGGUAGCUCAACACAUGUACUCUUUACCCGCUUAUGCAUUUAUAGCACAAGACUUUACUACUCAAGCUGCGUUAUAUACUCAUUACCAAUACAUCGCAGGAUUCAUCAUGACAGGAGCUUUUGCUCAUGGAGCUAUAUUUUUUAUUAGGGAUUACAAUCCGGAACAGAAUGAGGAUAAUGUAUUGGCAAGAAUGUUAGAACAUAAUGAAGCUAUCAUCAAC